rnacentral:hammerhead_ribozyme from 1 species
AUCAAGCUGACGAGUCCCAAAUAAGACGCAACGCUCGUCCUGCAU